rnacentral:rRNA from 1 species
CCUACGGGAGGCAGCAGUGAGGAAUAGUGGUCAAUGGGCGCGAGCCUGAACCAGCCAAGUAGCGUGAAGGAUGACUGCCCUACGGGUUGUAAACUUCUUUUAUAAAGGAAUAAAGUGAGGCACGUGUGCCGUUUUGUAUGUACUUUAUGAAUAAGGAGCGGCUAACUCCGUGCCAGCAGCCGCGGUAAUACGGAGGAGCCGAGCGUUAUCCGGAUUUAUGGGGUUUAAAGGGAGCGUAGAUGGGUUGUUAAGUCAGUUGUGAAAGUUUGCGGCUCAACCGUAAAAUUGCCUUUGAUACUGGCAGUCUUUAGUACAGUUGCGGUAGGCGGCUUUCGUGGUGUCGCUG